rnacentral:hammerhead_ribozyme from 15 species
AAUUGGUUGGGAGCUAAUGCUAUUCUCCUGACGAGGCCAUGGCAGGCUGAAACUAUUU